AGAGAGAGACAUGCGCGAUAUCAAUAAGCGGAGGAAAAGAAACUAACAUAGGAUUCCCCUAGUAACGGCGAGCUGAAGCGGGAAGAGCUCAAAUUUGAAAUCUUCAAGGUUCUACCUUGACGAAUUGUAGUUUAAAGAAGUGUUUUCUGUUGAAGUUUUGGUAAAAGUUCUUUGGAAUAGGACAUUAUAGAGGGUGAGAAUCCCGUAUUUGACCAUUAUCUUCAGCUUUGUGAUACACUUUCAAAGAGUCGGAUUGUUUGGGAAUGCAGUCCAAAAUGGGUGGUAAAUUUCAUCUAAAGCUAAAUAUUGGCGAGAGACCGAUAGCGAACAAGUACCGUGAGGGAAAGAUGAAAAGAACUUUGAAAAGAGAGUUAAACAGUACGUGAAAUUGUCAAAAGGGAAGCGUUUGACACCAGUGUUGUUUUUCUCGAAAAUCAAUUAAAAAUGGUUCGAUUUUGUAUUGCUUGAGACCUUAAAAGCUCACUGUACAUUUUUCGUGUCUUUUUUAAUGCACUUUUCGUUUAACAAGUCAACAUCAGUUUCCUUUUGUUGUAAAAGGGUCAUUGGAAGGAUGGCUUUCUUUUCGGAGAAAGUGUUUAUAGCCUUUGGCCUCUGCAAUCGAAGAGACUGAGGUCUGCAGCGUAGACUCUUCGGGGUUAGAUACAUUUGUGCUAAGUUAUAGCUUUUUAUAGACGACUUGUUGACUAUAAUUAGUCUUGUAGCUUACUCGCUUAUGCUAUUUUACCUACGCUUAGGAUGUUGAGUCGUAGAGCACGCAG
rnacentral:rRNA from 1 species